rnacentral:rRNA from 1 species
UCUUCGGAGCUAGAGACCGGCGCACGGGUGCGUAACGCGUAUGCAAUCUACCUUUCACAGAGGGAUAGCCCAGAGAAAUUUGGAUUAAUACCUCAUAGUAUAAUGAGUUGGCAUCAACCCAUUAUUAAAGUCACAACGGUGAAAGAUGAGCAUGCGUCCCAUUAGCUAGUUGGUAGGGUAACGGCUUACCAAGGCUACGAUGGGUAGGGGUCCUGAGAGGGAGAUCCCCCACACUGGUACUGAGACACGGACCAGACUCCUACGGGAGGCAGCAGUGAGGAAUAUUGGUCAAUGGACGCAAGUCUGAACCAGCCAUGCCGCGUGCAGGAUGACGGUCCUAUGGAUUGUAAACUGCUUUUGUACGAGAAGAAACACUCCUUCGUGAAGGAGCUUGACGGUAUCGUAAGAAUAAGGAUCGGCUAACUCCGUGCCAGCAGCCGCGGUAAUACGGAGGAUCCAAGCGUUAUCCGGAAUCAUUGGGUUUAAAGGGUCCGUAGGCGGUCUAGUAAGUCAGUGGUGAAAGCCCAUCGCUCAACGGUGGAACGGCCAUUGAUACUGCUGGACUUGAAUUACUGGGAAGUAACUAGAAUAUGUAGUGUAGCGGUGAAAUGCUUAGAGAUUACAUGGAAUACCAAUUGCGAAGGCAGGUUACUACCAGUGGAUUGACGCUGAUGGACGAAAGCGUGGGUAGCGAACAGGAUUAGAUACCCUGGUAGUCCACGCCGUAAACGAUGGAUACUAGCUGUUGGUGGCAACAUCAGUGGCUAAGCGAAAGUGAUAAGUAUCCCACCUGGGGAGUACGAAC